rnacentral:lncRNA from 1 species
AUGGCCUGGGGGAGUUUCAAUCAAAUUUUCAGUACAAAUUAAUUGGGAGCUUUGGACAGAGUAGCUAUGUUUUUUUUUUUUUUAAAGACUUAAUGUGUAGUUAAUACCACAGACCCAAUCUGUCAUACUUAGAGGAGCUGCAGUCUCCUACUUUAGUGGGGUAAAUUAAAAAAUACAGCUGAGGGACUUAGCUAUUCCUACCAGCACAUCCUUAGAUGUGACUUAGAACAUGGAUUCUUCAAUCAAAGGCUUGAAAUAGCUUUGCAGCUGCAGGAUGCAUCAUAGUCGCUGGGAAGUCUUUCCAGCAAAUUCUCCAACAGCCUCCCACUUCCAGCAAAAUGGGCAAGGCAGCCAUCUGGGGUAAGGCAACUGGGAUGAAGGCUUAGAAGAAGCUUCCUGAGCAGCUGAUUUGCCAUUAGUUAUUAAAACCUACUGGCUUGAAAUAAUUGUACUGCAGGUAGUUCAUAGUUAGCUAUGCAACUCCUAUGGAAGGGGCCACCUGCUUUCUUCCUGAAAGUUCCCCAAUCAUGAACCCUGCCCCUCCACCACCCCCAAUGCUGGCAAAUCUCUGAACAGUUUUAUAGAACUUUUUCACCGCCUACUGAAGGGUUGAAAUAAACUAUCAGUGGAAAGUAGAACUCCCUCUGCUACAAAUACAACUGAAAUUAGCCUGCUCCCCUUUAAGGGCCACAUGACAGUGCAGUUAAGUAAGUUCCCUGCAGCAACUGACAGGAGGAGGGUCAGAGUCCACAGUUCCCUUGGAACCAAGAAUAGUCUUCCCAUUUAGUAACAUCCCUCAGCCUAGAGCUCCAACCUUCUGUCUCUGCUAAUCUUUCAUCUUUAGAAUUUCAUUCCUGUCUUAAUGACCUUCAUUUUUAAUGUCUGCAUGCAGCAACCUACUUCCAAUUCCUUAUGAUUGGCACAGCAAAUUAACUUUCCAGGGACCACUUCUCAUUGCCAUAGAAUUAUGAAUGAAAAAUAGUAGAUAAAACAGACAUGAUAGAUUGAAUGUAGCAAAUUAUUUAUUAAAGCCAACGUUUAACAGUACUUAGUUUAUAACAGUACUACAUGUCAGAAAUUGUAACUGAGAAUAUUUUACAACAAUAAAUUAUAACAAUUAAAACCCCCCACUAAGUGAUCUCUAACCUUGGCAGCCACAUACAUACGAAUUAAAGAAGUUAGGAAACUGUGAUCUUCCUUUUCCACUCUGCCCACGUAGGAAGUGAUAGGCUGAUGCUGAUGCUGACACCACAAGGUUCUGAGGCUGGUGCUCUUCCCCCUACAUCAUAACCGAUUUCAAAUGGUGCUAGACAAAAACAGACUCUGAACACCAGGAGAAAUCGGUCAGCCUGUGUAAGAGAUGGACCGACUGGUGGUGUUCUUCAGGUCUGAAUCUCAAGGCAGGUGACAGUCUGAUUUCAGCUGUGCUGCAACCAGGACUGAAUGAGUGCUCCAUGGAUCUUCCAGGUUCAGACGAGCCAUACUGAUGUGAAUGAAGCAGUCCUCCACAUACAGAGCUCUUACCCCUUCCUUGCUACAAUUAAUGAACAGUGCAGGCCCAAGGAACCCUCUUCCACCCAUGGAAUGCUGAAUAAAGUAGACCACUUCCUGAUUAUACCCUUAUACAUUCUGAACACAAAAACUUUCUCACUAUCACUGCCUCUAAACCAAACAGACUCAAGAGCAAAUGUCACUAUUCAAGUCUUCCCUUGAUUUCUCGAAGGAGAGAGCCAGUUCUGUGUACAGCUGUUCCUCUGUAGUCUACCCUCUGCUGUGCUGCAAUUCUUACUCCUAAAACACUGAUUUCAAAUGGUGCUAGAUACAAAGAUGGAAAAAUCUAAGCCACCAUGUGAAACCAGCUUCCAGAAGAAGAGGAUCUCACUGAAGAAAGCAGAGAUGUGCAGUCAGAAGAACCAGCCUCAGCCCUGAGAAUCAUUUUGCCUGUCAGACGCAGAUGACAGCCAUACAGCCAACACUUUGAGCAGACAAAAACAAUGCAAAGCUUGUUUCCUGUGUGACUUCACAUUAGUCAUUAGAAAUCAUCAUACACAAUGAAAUAAAAGAACCAAAUCCAUUCAAC